AUUGAACGCUGGCGGCAGGCCUAACACAUGCAAGUCGAACGGUAGCACAGAGAGCUUGCUCUUGGGUGACGAGUGGCGGACGGGUGAGUAAUGUCUGGGAAACUGCCCGAUGGAGGGGGACAACUACUGGAAACGGUGGCUAAUACCGCAUAACGUCUUCGGACCAAAGUGGGGGACCUUCGGGCCUCACACCAUCGGAUGUGCCCAGAUGGGAUUAGCUAGUAGGUGGGGUAAUGGCUCACCUAGGCGACGAUCCCUAGCUGGUCUGAGAGGGUGACCAGCCACACUGGAACUGAGACACGGUCCAGAUGCCUACGGGAGGCAGCAGUGGGGAAUAUUGCACAAUGGGCGCAAGCCUGAUGCAGCCAUGCCGCGUGUAUGAAGAAGGCCUUCGGGUUGUAAAGUACUUUCAGCGGGGAGGAAGGCGUUAAGGUUAAUAACCUUGGCGAUUGACGUUACCCGCAGAAGAAGCACCGGCUAACUCCGUGCCAGCAGCCGCCGUAA
rnacentral:rRNA from 1 species